rnacentral:misc_RNA from 1 species
GUGCCUCACCCUGUAUAUAGCACAUUACCGUCUAGAUAGGUACGGUCUAACAUAAUAUAAUAGAUGCACGAUAGCAACAGGCAGUUGCCGCCCUCUCGCGAUCAACGCUUCAGUAGGACGCUGUUGAUGACGAAUAUAUUAUAUACCUGUGUCAUAAAAUUUUUCAUAUUUACACUUUGCAUUGUAAUAUCUCCACUUGUACAAGCAAAAAUAAAAAUAAUUUUCUGAUGUACAGUGAACAUCAGCUAUCGAUUGAGUCUAAUCGCGAAGUUAAUCCAUUCAGCCGUUACUGAAAUCCGAUAAUCGAGGGUGUGCUCAACUAAUUGCUUCGCGUGUAUGUACAUAGGCGGUUUCGCCGUUCGUAUGUCGCUUUGCUCAUGCACUCGUUGCAAGACAUGUCUCUUGAUGAUAAUGUGAGAAAGAUUCUCAGAUUAUUUCCGGUGAACUUAUUACCAGCCUUUCAACUUGUUGCUACGAAAUAAGCGUUGAUCAUAAAAUGAACUAAUGAGCAUUUUACGAGACAUUUUAAUACAAUAAAAAAAAGAAUCCGUUCAAGCUCUCUGAAUCGUAAGAGAGAUAUCAGAAUUCUCCACGAGUACGUUUCUUCCAUCCAACUAAAAUAAAUGGAAUAAAAGUGUUUCAUGGGUUACUUCGUUACGACCGUGCGAAUAAAACUCUAGGCAUUGUUAUCGUAUCCUGCCAGAGUGGAAAUUAAAUUCUCGCGAAACAACAGCUAAACUUCCUAGGAAAGUUUCAUCCGUAAUCUCUAAUGAACUUUUCAGUAUUUUUCGUUUUUUUAAUGGCUUUGUUAUUAGGAAACUAAGGGAAGUAACAUACGACAAUAGUUAAACGAUAAUGGAUAAAAGACAGAGUUGGAUUACAAGUUUAUCUAUAACGAAAUCAUUGCGCGUAUAAUAUUAACACUUAAAGAAGCUACUAUAUAAAUAUGUUAUUAAAAUUUAUGUACUUACAUGUAUAUUAUUUUUGCUAAAAAUAAUACAGAUUUUCCAUUCAACCCAAUAUUACACAUUAAAUAAAUAUAGAAAUUGACAUUGAAUAUUAUCGAAAGGCUUGUAUCUGUUCCUCAAUUAUUUUUUCUGCUUCAAAUGGCUUUUUUGACAAAGGAGGCUUUUUUAAGGAGACAGAACAAACACAUAAAGAAAUAUUCAAUAUGUUCAUAGUUUACUGAAAACAUCUUUUGUAUGGAUGUGCUCCGCGACGAAACUUGGCUCCGGAAGUACGAAUUUCCGGUGACUCCAACACGCCAAGUAAUAGAGAGUAAAACCUUUCACCAAUAUAGGAUGAUUGAAGCAAUUUAUGUCAAAGCGCCUUCUCAUACAUACUAGGGUGGAUACGUAUGCUAUAUUUAUAAAAUUGUUUCUUGCGUUAUCGCUUUGGACUCCUCUUAAAAUCGUUCCAUUUGGAGAAGUAUGAAAUCGUACCAACUGUAAACUCAGUCGGAUAACGGAAACACAUGACACAAUCCUGCUAAAGGUGAAACAAAUAAUAUUUUUCACGAAAAGUGGAAAAAUGCGAUAAAAAGAAUAAAAAUUAAAUAUUUUUAUUUGUACAUGUUGACCAUUAUGUUUACUAGAAAACGCACAUGAGGAAAAUAAAGAAGUGAAAAUACUCUGUGAAUGUAAUUUUAUAAAUCCUUGGUAAGAGUAGAUGUCUUCAGUAGAUUGCUUCCUCUUCUCAUUUCUCGACAAAACUUGAUUAAAAUCAUACAUAAGCUUAACUUCUCCUCCUGUUGUGUCAUUUACGACUUUUAGCGUUUAAAACUUUCCAUCCCGAUUUGAAAACCAAUUUCAUUUACCCACACAGUAAGAUCUUUCUCGAGAUCCAUCUAUUGAAUAUUGUUCGAAGAAACGAUUUGAUUAUUAUGGUAAUGCUCAAUUCCACAGUUCAAAUAAUUUGGAACAUUUUUUGCAUUUAUUCGUAGUCUUUUUAUCGAUUCAUCGGAUAAUAGAAUGCUAUCAUUUCAAUGAUUUUACCAUUCUUUUAUUUGUUUCAAUUGUAAUGUGUCUGUCAAAACAUCCCAGCGCUGUUGUUUCUGGUAUCAAAUACAUUAAUAAUCGUGAAAUUGCGACAUUACUUGUGUAAUGUAACACGGCUUAUGUUUUUAUCAUUUUUACGAUAAAGAUCUUUUAAAAACUGAGAAAUCUUGAGAGGAAGCUUUUACUUCAAUUGCAACUUGGAUCCAUGCUUUUACGUACAAAAUAAGGAGAAAUACGCAAACGUCUCAGAGUCCAACAUUUUCUUUGGUCGUAAUAUUGAACUCGUCUCGAAAUAAAAACAUUUUGAAACAGUAAAUGGCCAUUGAGCAUGGUGAAAAGCUCCUGGAGCUCGAAAAGGCAUACCACCUAGAAAAUACAACCACGAGUUUGAGUAAUUCUUGGUGAUCUUUUCGAUUAUUGUUCCUUUUCUAACGUUAUUAACAUAAAUUGAAGCAGUUUCAUUCUCCUAAGAGUCGUACCUGAUCAUGUUGAAUUCUGGGUUUAAAGUUUGAUUUGUUUAUCAAUAAUAAGAAUUAUAUAAAGAUAUAGAAAUUACGUAUUUAAAUUACAAAAAAAGUUCUCAAAAUAUCCUGCGCUUCACUUCUGACAAUAUUUUAAUCGUUUUUAAGCAUCCUUUAAUAUCCUUUGCGUGGAUCAUUCAUUUUCAUCUGGCCUAAUCAGAAAAGCAGACAAGUUGACUUCUACGAGAUAGUAUGUCAUUGCUGCAGGAUUCCCAUAAGGUUCUGUCUCUCCCUUCUCUUUCUUCCACUCCCUCCCUCCUCUCUCUUACUCACUCACUCUGUUUCUCUUGGGAACUAUGCACAUGUUGACCAGUUGGAGGGGAUUCAGACGCAGCAGCUGGUUGCUUGCUGUGGAACAGAUUGGGAGAAUCGCGUUCGCAUAUGUACCCAUCAGUAAUGCUACAUCGGUGGUAUUCAAAGCCUACAGGGAACGUUACAUUGCCAGAAUUGUGACACGUUCGCAUGAUUUUCGUAUACUAAGUUCACGCGUACUUGUGUAUAGAAAACAUCGACAAGGAAAGAAUGGCGCUGUGAAAGUGCCGUGCGUCGAUUUUUCAUAGCCGUCAUACUUGAAAGAUCCGUCUCUCCGACUCCGGCUGGAGCGCAGCAACGGCGUGCAUAGCAGCGACGGUUGGAAAAUGUGAGCGCGCACGUGACAACGCGUAUCGUAGCGAGCCGUGCACGUUUCGUCUCGACCGUCGAUAAACCAAAAUCUUCAAAUAUCUAUUUCCGUUUUACGCGCAACGUAUCCUCACUUGUAUCGUCUAUAUGGGCGUUUCAUUUCAACUCCAUUGUGUACACGUACGGGACAAAAUUCAACGAUUUAUAUGAAAAUUUCGUUCUUCGAAGCAACGUGCCUACGAUAAAAACAUAAAGAGGUAUCACCAAUCAGCAGCGAAAAACGCAAAGGGAUCACGAAUUUCCAAACGGCAUCUCCAAGUAACAGCGAUAAUUAAUACUGAUGUAGAAAAUAUAACUUCCAAAUUAUAUCGAUGAAUAUCCAUCGGGAAGCAGCUUACCGCGAUGUUCCUUGAACGAAAAACUCAUGAGGCAUGCAAAACUCACGGGCACGAUGACGACGUCGUUUUCGUGCAUGGAGAUGUCAUUGUGAUUUCCGAUGUGGUACGCAUAGAAACGAUCACGUCGAAUGGAAUCUACUCUGUGAUAGGUAGUUGCAUAGGCACCCGUAUGCCCGGCGAGCUUGCCUUCCUCAGAGACACGAGUGGGAUUCUAGCGUGACUUUAAUCCCGAUCGACAUGCCAUCGAUGGCAUUCGAACGGAGAACGGACCCACACACGUGUUAUUGCGAGAUUGAUGUAACUGUGCGAAAGCGUUACACAGCCAUAAUAAACGACACAGUAGAAAUUUCCGAGGAUCCACGACGGCAACGACGAUUGCUUAAGGUCUCGCUCGAGAUGGCAAGGUAAAUUGCGCCACCUCCAUCCGCUCGAUUUCUCCACGUGAUGUUUACACAGGGUCUUUUUCUACACAAACUAUAUAAGUUACCGAACUGUAUACAUCUGAGAGCAUAUUCCUGCGACUGUGUAAGUCCUGUGUAAGAAAAAUUCCGUAACUAGGUCCGAAAUGACAUAAAUAAGGAUCGGAACUCGGUCAGUUAUGCAUAGAUAUGUGUCCACCGACGCGUACAGAUGCAAAUAUCUAAGAAACUUGACGUGACUCUUCUUUCCGAAAAGGAAAUUUUAUCGGGACUAGGAUCGAUAACGAGAACAACGUUCUAAAAAAAGAAAUAACAGCGCCGUAACGGAAAAGAAGUGAGUUGAGAAUUAGUCACAAAUUAAGAGGAAAACUUCAGUCCAAAGUAAUAACAAUUGUGCAACUUGCGGAAAUAUAAGAGUAUAGAAAAACAAGCAAAAGGAAAAGCAUCAAAAGAGAGAGGUGUUGUCAGAAUAAUUAAUACGAUAAUUGUCGAAAAAGAAAACGUCCAAUAGUUGCGGACAUUCAUUCCGCCCUCUCUAUUUUAUCUCAUAUUAUUUUGAAUUGUAUUCUUCCGUACGUGCCCCUUCGAUUUGAAUUUAAAAUAUGAUGCUCAUCGGGAAUGUCAAAGGAUGCACUUCCUCAAAUCGAAUCGAAUCCUAACAAUUUACUCUGGAAACCAAUGAGCUGCAACUGCUCUUUUCAAUUGAUGCAGUCACGCUUAAAUCUUUAUUGCUUUUGCUUUCGCAAGAAGCAAACUGGCACGGCCCACAUACAAGUACUUUAAUCGAUCACUGUUCUGUGACGAAUACUUAUGAAUUUUCUAACAGAGAGAGCUGCGGUUGUUAUUGUCAGAAUCUUGAGUAAAUGUUUCAAUCACAAUUGUUUGUAUCUCCGAUAUACAUAGAUAUGAAAUAUUGUUUUCUUCGACAUCAUUGCCAAAAUUAUCAAUGAAAUGAUAAUUUGGAUCGAUAAUCUUCUUCAACAUUAUUAUAGUUAUUUAUAAGAAGGAGAGAAGGAAUAGAAAGAUGGUGUGUAUAUAUAUAUAUAACAUUUGAUGCGCACACAUCGUAGUCGGGAACAAAUGUCAAAUGGAAAUGUCUGUGCGCUAUGUACGUCGAUGUUUGAUGAUGAUCAGACUACAGGCGAUCUUGUCAUUGAUCUUGGAGCAUACACUUCACCGUCAUCAAGAUCUUAACGACUAGCGGACGACAGCAAUAAAUUUGAUUGGACUGGCAAAUUGUCGGUCGCUCCGAGGAGGAACAAGCGACGAGUUCGGAAUAACCACUUCUUCGUAAUAGCCAAUUGUCGCGCGACGGAAUUGUCCAAGUGUGAGUGCGUGUCCUAAGUAAACAAUAAAAUCGUUUCAGAGACUACAGUUCGCGUCGUGUCAUCGUUCUAUCGUGACGGAAUCCACGCUAAAUCCCUUUCAUCGUUAGCUGCUUUUUCGCUUCGUAUAAAUAUUUAAUAGUUUUGUCGCCUCGAGAGACAAGUGAACAUCAUGUUCCGCUAGUCAGAGCCGACUCGAAUAGAAGACUCGAUUUAUGCAUUUACAUCAAGCUAAUCAGCAUUUUAGAAGUUUAUAACUAACAAUAAGCCUUCAAGCGUAAUUUGCGUCUUGCGCUCCGAGAGGAAAGCCUGAGCGCCAAGAGGGAAUAAGUCAAUGAACUUUUCCAGCUUUAUUUAGCCAAAGAAUUAUAUUACAGUUUUAUAAAGUCUCACAACUUCGAAGCUUUAUUCUACCAAAGAGAGUCAAAGCAUUCUUUAUUUUAUCGCUGACAGCGAUAAUAUACUGCCAUUGGUAAUUUAUAAAAGAAGCAAUAAUCCGAAGAAUCGAUCUUGUCGCGUCUAGAAUACUCGAAAAUCAAGAUUCUUAAAAGGAUUAGAGAUCUCAAUAGGAUUUCGAGAUAUAUCAAGUGGCACUAUAGUACAAUCUCCAAAUGAAAUUUCGCAAGUCCUCGUCCAGUCCGAAAAUGGAAUUACUCUCAAGACAUCCCUCAGAUGGGAGGAUGUCGAUCUUGAAAAGGUCGAAAUCCUUCCGAGCAUCCAUGAAACUGAUGUCAAAGAUACGCAGUCACGCGAAUCUGCGAUUGCCCACUGGUUUCGAUCUCUCGCCCGUCUCGGAGAACUGUACCGUCAAAAAAAGAGAGCGUAAUCGCCAUGUCCUCGAAGAAUCUCAAGACAAGAGAUCAUCGAAUCCGCAAAACGAUCCCGAAGAUCCGAGUUCACGCAUCGAGGAUAACGUUAGUGACAAGACAUCCUCGAGUCUUGGAAAGAUUUCUUUGUCAGCGAAUGAUGUUGAUUCACAAGAGAUCACGAAAGAUUUCAAGAGCAAACUAUCCCUUACUGAUCAAAUAAUCAGUACGGACGGCAAAAAUGUGGAAAGUCCCGCGACAAAGGAUGAAGAUGCGAAAUCACCAAAGCUCAUUGACAUUUUUCGCAAGAAAUACACCGUAGAGAACUCGUAUCCUCAAGGGAAGGAACCAAACAAACAUAUCUUCUACGAGAAUCCAACAUUCGUAUUGGACAGUUCCUUCGACUCCUCUGUUUCUAGUUUCCUCUUUGAGACUGAACAAGAAGAGGAGGAGCAACGACGAGAUUGCGAAAGCAAGUAUACAGAGUCCCACGAGUGCAAGGUUCUGACCGUUGUCGUGGAUUCCCAUAAAGCUGCAACUAACCAGCAACUUUAUUGCAAGCGAGAUGAGCACGAGGACAAAGAUUGUCUCAAAAACGAAAGUACGAAGAACGCGUUCCCUCCUAGAUGCGAAACAAGCAGCGAAGACUCGCAGGCAAGCGUGACGACCGAGAGCCGAAGAACUGCCGAGUCGUUUGCCGGAUUUGAUCGCUCAAAGAUAAAACUUUAUUGUAAGAUACACGAAACGGAAACGCGGAACGUGUUAAACCGUUUGCAAGAUGAAAGAUUUCUCGACAAUAUCAAGACCUAUCCUUCCAUGUCCUGUAAAAUCAGGACAGUUGACAUCACCAACUUUUGGACGAGUAAACGUGGUAGUAGUUUUCGAAAUAAGAUGGCAGCCAGUAGAAAAAGAGACGCAAAGGAAGCGAAGGAUUACAAGCGGGUCGGUCAGGAGCAAGUUCUCGUGUCGACGUCGUCGGGAUCAAAGUUACACUCAUUACAAGGGAUGGAGUUUCUAGAAGGUUUUGGCAAGAAGAAACAACAGCCCCAUCAACAACUAAAUAACGUGUCAUCGAUACACGUCAGUCCUCUCUCGGCCCAAUCUCUCAAUAUACACUUGCAUGCUCUAUUUGCGGCUGUGGAACAUGGUCACGUCGAUAAAGCGCGAACCAUUUUGGAAUCUACCGAUGUGGACGUAAAUAGUGUUAACAGCGACGGCUUGUCACUAUUAGAUGUUGCUGUGCUUAGCAACAACAGACCACUGGCAAAAAUGUUGGUUGCGUUCGGUGCGCAGGAAGGGAAUCAAUUUAAAUCUCCGGAAUCUCUCGGAAGUCAUUUAGCAUCGUUGCUCUCGGAAGCGGAACACAGAGUACAAGAACUCGGCGGCAGUAUUUCUGGCAGCAGUGGGACCACUCUGCUGGAACCACCAAGCAGUCAUAGAGCAAGUUUUUCCACGCAACACAAUAAUCUCACGGGAUGCAGCGGUAACACAGAGGACAAGCAGCUCACCUUAUGGGAAAGAAGAGCCCGAGCCCUCAGAAAGAUGUUACUGGGUUUUGACCAAGCACGACCACCCGACAUACCCUUCCUGGUUGCAGUUGACGUUACCGGUACAACUUCGAUAACGAUCAGAUUUCAAGAACCAGACUCGCACGACUCUCCAAUCUGCACCAAGUUUAAAGUUCAGUGGAGUUUACACGAUGACUUCUCAACGAUUUGUGGCGAGAAGGAGGUUCUGGACAUGAAGCAAAGGGAGUGUCAAAUAGAAGGUCUAACGCAAGGGCAAAAGUAUCACUUUCGUGCUGCUGCUGGAAAUUUGAAGGGUUUCAGUAGAUUUAGGAAUUCGACACCCGCACAUGUUACACCUAGUAGUUGGAGAGACAUAGAUGGCAGAGUACCAAGAUUUGCGGGACGCUUGGAACAAUUAAACACGCUAUUCACCGAUAUAAGGCGACCGGAGUACACGCAGGAGACACCUGCAGUACAAAGGCGAAAUCCGAAGAAAAAGACAACGAUAAAACAACUGUUUACGGCGACGAGUAAAUUCCAAAAAAAUCUUAGGCGAGGCGUGUUCCUCGCGUGCCUACUUUACCACGAGGAUAAGGUGCUCGUUACCAAUGAGGAUUUCUUACCGGUGAUCGAAAUCGACGAAACGUAUCCUAGCUGCAUCUACAACGAUUUUCAUUGGCUGAUGAAGGUUGCUUGCACUUGGGACGACGUUAAAUCCCUUCGACAAGAUAUGGAAAAAAGUCACAGCAGUUCAACCAAUCAUUUUAGGAUAAAACUGCUUCAAGCUGCUGCUCAAAUGCAGGCUGCAUUGUGCAUACAAGAUCUCGGACAGUUAUAUCACAAACCGAUUAGAGACAUCCAAGGCACUUUAGUGUUGUCGACGGUAAAUUAUAUAAAAUCGCCGAAACUGGUUUCUGUAUUGAACAGUAGAUGGUUGCCACUCAGUAAGAUAAUAAAGAAAGUCAUAACACACGAGGAUAGUAAUGUCGCUGAUAUCUUGAUGGCCAGCAUACAAGAGCAAAUGACAUAUCAUCAAGUCAGUAAUAUCAAACUGUCUAAAGGCUUAUAUCUCGGUUACUUGAAAAUGCAAAGCAGCGUCGAUCUCAUACAAGUUGUUGUCCCGACCAAGUCUCCGAAUGUAUUGCCACACUGCAAGAUUCGCGAUAAUCCACACGUUUCCGCGGAGGAGUGGGAUUACCUAAAGAGAGUAACACAUAUCUGCACGUCUGAAUUUUCCGCAAAGGAGUCUGAAGAGAAGGAGAAUGUAACGAACGAAGCUCAGGGGACGGAACAGCAGAAACUGUUCGUUGAUUUGGUAGCUGCGACGGCGCGACGACUGUUCAAUUACAUGGAGAUUAGUCUGGAGGAUUCGCUGGUACAUCGGCUUUAUGACGCCGAAGUGAUCGAUUUGACACACGACGUAUCAUUCCUAAUCACUGUGCCACCCGCCGAAACUGCUUGCUGCGUGCCCGGUACACGGGAGAUCCUGCUGCAACGUGGCGAUCUGCUAUCGCUGCCGAUCCAGGUCUUCGAAAUGGUGCAUUUAAAUACCUAUCAGAAGGACGUAAUUAAUCGUUAUUCAAGACUCAGCUGCAUCCUAGAACUUGACACGGCGCAAGCUCAGCAUAAUCACAGGGAAGCAUUCAGCUCUUUAGAGUUAAGUGUCGCUAAGGACAAACUAGCGAGAUUGCAGGACCUGCAAACGCAAGUGAACACGGUAUGGAAAGGCGCUAGAUGGCUGAUUGACGUUAUAACUUUCGCAAGAGAUCGCAGCUCCUCCCAACAGAGUACCGGCAUAUUUAUAAAGCAUCUGCUUAGUCUGGACAGGAACAAAAAUAGUAACAGCAGUAAUAGUCUGAAGCGAAGUCUAUUACAAUUGCCGUCUAGGGAUCCCAAGCUCGUGAAAUCGAGUCCCGGCCGAGGCAGUUGGCCGGGACCGAAUCUCUCCAAUUCAUCCUCCAAUCUUCUCACGACGGAAUUCAGCAAGAGUGAGCAACAACUGCCUAGCGGACAAUACGUACGCAAGGGUAGUAAUACUUCUAACGCAUCCACCGGUUCGGAGCAGCAAAAGUCAUCUUGCGCACCGAUGAGUAGCAAUAGCAAUUUAAGCAAUCUCACGACCACCAGCAGCACUAACCAUUUGGUACCGAUGCAAAACACGAGGUUACCACCCUCCAAAUCCGAAGACACUCUAAUUCUCGCCAGGUAUAAGCACAGUCCGCGAAAUCGAUCCGCCACGAUAACGUCGGCAUCGGCUAGCACGAGUCCGUUACUGAGUAUCAAGCCCAUCAUCUACGGCGGCUCGCUCUUGAGUGUAUCCACAGCGAUGACCAACACCACGAGCCUGCUCAGCGUGAGCAACACGAACUCGGACAGCUUGCACUCUUUGAGUAGCGACGAAUACGCUACGCCGAAUUCGAGUGUCUGUUUGAAACCGACCGGUCAUCCAAUCAAAGUGAAAGCGUUUAAACCGACCGCGAGCGUUGCGGCGAUGGCCACCGUUUCGCAGGAUAACCAACUCGACGAAGAAAAAGAAGAGGCGAAAAUGAUGCCAGCACCACUACCAGGCAUUCUUCAGGGAACACAAGUCUAACCCGAUUAUAAUUAAAAACCGCUCGCUUGGUCUUCUAGUGCAAACCGAUGUAGCAGACAUAUUGAGUUUACGCGGCUUACGAAACUGGUUUGGCAGCUGGCACGAGUUUAAAGCUACACGUAACACCAAGGACCACGGCACGGGAGGUCGUGGAUCUCGUCGUUAAACAGCUGAACAUGGCUGUAGGUCUAAAAGGUC